rnacentral:rRNA from 1 species
AGUGAACGCUGGCGGUAGGCCUAACACAUGCAAGUCGAACGGCAGCACAGGAGAGCUUGCUCUCUAGGUGGCGAGUGGCGGACGGGUGAGGAAUACAUCGGAAUCUGCCCAGUCGUGGGGGAUAACGUAGGGAAACUUACGCUAAUACCGCAUACGACCUUCGGGUGAAAGAGGGGGAGCGCAAGACCUCUCGCGAUUGGAUGAGCCGAGGUCGCAUUAGCUAGUUAGAGGGGUAAUGGCCUACCAAGGCGACGAUCCGUAGCCGGUCUGAGAGGGUGAUCGGCCACACGGGAACUGAGACACGGUCCAGACGCCUACGGGAGGCAGCAGUAGGGAAUCUUGAGCAAUGGGCGAAAGCCUGACGGAGCAACGGCGCGUGAGUGAAGAAGGUCUUCGGAUCGUAAAACGCUGUUAUUAGGGAAGAAAAAAUGUGUAAGUAACUAUGCGCGUCUUGACGGUACCUAAUCAGAAAGCCACGGCUAACUACGUG